UACAGAGGUCUCAAGCGUUGUUCGGAUUCAUUGGGCGUAAAGGGUGCGUAGGUGGCGCCAUAAGUCAGGUGUGAAAUCUCGGGGCUCAACCCCGAAACUGCACUUGAUACUGUGGUGCUGGAGUACUGGAGAGGAGAUUGGAAUUUACGGUGUAGCAGUGAAAUGCGUAGAUAUCGUAAGGAAGACCAGUGGCGAAGGCGAAUCUCUGGACAGUUACUGACACUGAGGCAGCGAAGGCCAGGGGAGCAAACGGG
rnacentral:rRNA from 1 species